rnacentral:rRNA from 1 species
CCUACGGGCGGCAGCAGUGGGGAAUAUUGGACAAUGGGGGCAACCCUGAUCCAGCCAUGCCGCGUGUGUGAAGAAGGCCCUCGGGUUGUAAAGCACUUUCAGUGAGGAAGAACGCCUGGUGGUUAAUACCCAUCAGGAAAGACAUCACUCACAGAAGAAGCACCGGCUAACUCCGUGCCAGCAGCCGCGGUAAUACGGAGGGUGCGAGCGUUAAUCGGAAUUACUGGGCGUAAAGCGCGCGUAGGUGGCUUGAUAAGCCGGUUGUGAAAGCCCCGGGCUCAACCUGGGAACGGCAUCCGGAACUGUCAAGCUAGAGUGCAGGAGAGGAAGGUAGAAUUCCCGAUGUAGCGGUGAAAUGCGUAGAGAUCGGGAGGAAUACCAGUGGCGAAGGCGGCCUUCUGGACUGACACUGACACUGAGGUGCGAAAGCGUGGGUAGCAAACAGGAUUAGAUACCCUAGUAGUC